rnacentral:lncRNA from 1 species
CCGAGGACAUGACCUUACACUAUCAUCUCCCGCCGCGGCCACUAUCCCUCCAACCGACUAUGGAGAGUAGAGACGCACACACGCACUAUAGAGGAAUACGCAAAAGGAGACAAACUAGAUAGCAACAGAGUAAACCUCACACGGAAUGCUUGGUAAAAUACGUAAAAAUGUGUACAAAGUAAACAAGAGAGCGGGAGGUACCAACUCCCGGUGAAAAAACCUAAUAGUAGGCAUUGAUGCGCCCUAGGUCAACUGCUACCGACUCUUGCACUUCCCGGCCGGUGUUGUUUAGCUCUUCACUCCCAAACGCCGCGAACUGGCCUCGCCGCCGCGACUAGUACCUGGGAUGAGUUUUCCUGAAAUGCCUCGCCGCCGCGACUAGUACUUGGGAUUAGUUUUCCUGAAGCUUAUCAGAACGUGUAGUUCUGUUGCGUCCUGCCAAAAGUCUGAACGGGAGUUGCCUGAUGUACUGUAGCUUGCCAGAAAUCCUCACCGGAAAAAUAAGGCACCUGUCCAAGAAAACAGAAUACACCCACACACACACACAAAAAGCAGAAGAGAGAAUAGAAAGAAAAGACGAAUACAGAGCAGAAAUGUAGAAGGGAAGGGAUCUGUUUGGUUCUCUCUUGAGAGGAUGGAGGGUCGGCCGAUGAAGGCUUUUGGAGAGAGGGGUCCGGCAGCGGCUUAAAAAUUAGAAUCGUGUAAAAAAUUAGAACGGAUCUAUAAAUAAAUGAGUAGAUAUUUAAAUAACAAAAGGAAUUGUAAACCAACAAAAGUAACAAGAUGAGGAACAAGUAUAUCUGUCAACAAUAUCAAAUCGAAAUGUGGGAUAAGUUCUGUAGAAUUAGAAGAGAAAAAUAGUAAAACAAAACGAGAAAGACGAAGAUACAGAGAGAAACAAGAGUGAUCUAGAAACUACUAAAUUAAGUCAACUCAACUUCUAUACAAUCACAAAAGGAAAUAAAGAAAAUAAAGAAAGUAUCUGAACAGAUCGCAAAAUGAGAAACAAAUGAAGAAUUGAAUAUAGAAUAAGUUGUUAUAGUACCAAUGGGAAAAACGAUUUUUUUUUUUGCAAAUAUGCUAUGAAUUAGGGAUUUGAAAUUUUAGGGGAAAAGUUGCGAAAGAGACUUACAAAAUGACACUAAAUGCAAUUCAAAAAUCACAGAUCUGCGCAAAAUAAACAGAAAAUUUACCUGUACAAUCGGGAAGACAACUUAAGAAAUCUAAAAAUUGAAGAGUGAAUCUAUAAUAUACUGUAUAUAGAUAGAGAAUAGAGAGAGACUAACAGAGUCUCGUAUAUGGCUUAAUUAAAGAGGAAAAAUGAGAACAACAUCAAAAGCUAUGGAGUUAAUUCUUUGUUCUCAC